rnacentral:rRNA from 1 species
CUACGGGAGGCUCCAGUGAGGAAUAUUGCACAAUGGGGGGAACCCCGAUGCAGCAACGCCGCGUGGAGGAUGACGCAUUUCGGUGUGUAAACUCCUUUUAUAUGUCAAGAAAAUGACGGUAGCAUAUGAAUAAGCACCGGCUAACUCCGUGCCAGCAGCCGCGGUAAUACGGAGGGUGCAAGCGUUACUCGGAAUCACUGGGCGUAAAGGACGCGUAGGCGGGUUGGAAAGUCAGGUGUGAAAUCCUACAGCUUAACUGUAGAACUGCACUUGAAACUGCUAAGCUAGAGUAUGGGAGGGGGAGAUGGAAUUAGUGGUGUAGGGGUAAAAUCCGUAGAUAUCACUAGGAAUACCUAAAGCGAAGGCGAUCUCCUGGAACAUUACUGACGCUAAGGCGUGAAAGCGUGGGGAGCAAACAGGAUUAGAUACCCUAGUAGUC